GGAGUUGGCUCGAGUGGCUUAAGGCACCUGAUUGAUAAUCAGGAGGGGGUUUUAUAUCUUCCGCAGGUUCGAAUCCUGUACUCUCCG
rnacentral:tRNA from 1 species